CCCUGAGUUGACGACGUUGCCGCCGGAGAGGGAGUUUGAGUUUGUGAUUGAUGUAGUUCCUGGAACUGCACCAAUCUCAAAGGUACCUUAUCGGAUAGCGCCGGCUGAGCUGAGAGAGCUAAAGGCACAACUUCAGGAUUUGAUGGAUAAAGGGUUUGUGAGACCCAGUGUGUCGCCUUGGGGAGCGCCAGUGCUAUUUGUAAAGAAGAAGGAUGGUUCACUCAGGUUAUGUGUGGAUUACCGGGAGCUGAAUAAAGUGACCAUCAAGAAUAAGUAUCCACUGCCGCGCAUUGAUGAUUUAUUUGAUCAGUUGCAGGGAUCCUUCGUCUUCUCGAAGAUUGAUCUCUAGUCAGGUUACCACCAGCUGAGGGUGAGGGCCGAGGAUGUUCCCAAGACGGCUUUUCGGACUUGGUACGGGCAUUAUGAGUUUACAGUAAUGCCUUUUGGAUUGACAAAUACCCCUGCCGCAUUCAUGGAUUUGAGGAACAGAGUGUUCAAGCCGUUCUUGGAUAGAUUUGUGGUAGUCUUCAUCGACGACAUCCUGAUAUACUCCCGGAGUGAUGCUGAGCAUGAGGAGCACUUGAGGAUUGUGCUACAGCUUCUGCGAAAGAAGAAGCUGUAUGCCAAGUUGAAGAAGUGCGAGUUCUGGCUUCGGGAGGUUGCUUUCUUGGGCCACGUGAUUUCAGCCGAGGGCGUAGCAGUGGACCCGAAGAAGAUUGAGGCGAUUCGAGAUUGGCCUAGACCGACGACGGUGACUGAGGUACGGAGCUUCCUGGGACUGGCAGGAUAUUACCGUCGGUUUGUGGAAGGCUUUGCGAAACUUUCCACACCCCUCACACGCUUGACGCGAAAGGGGAUUCGUUUUGUUUGGAGCGAUGACUGUCAGAGGAGCUUUGACGAGUUGAGACUGAGGUUGACAUCAGCUCCUAUCCUUGCCCUUCCGGUGAUGGGGGAUGGAUUUGUGAUCUACAGUGAUGCAUCGCACAGUGGACUUGGUUGCGUGCUGAUGCAGCAUGGUAGGGUGAUUGUUUAUGCUUCACGGCAAUUAAAGGAUUUUGAGAAGAAUUACCCUACGCAUGACUUGGAGCUUGCCGCGGUGGUUUUUGCUUUGAAGCUCUGGCGGCAUUACCUGUACGGCGAGCACUGCGAGGUUUUCACCGAUCAUCAAAGUCUCAAGUAUCUGUUCACACAGAAGGAGCUGAAUCUGAGGCAGCGCCGGUGGUUGGAGUUACUGAAGGACUAUGACAUUAGUAUUCAGUAUCAUCCCGGCAGGGCGAAUGUGGUGGCAGAUGCGUUGAGCAGGAAGUCAGUGCAGAGCCUGAGUUUGAGGAUUACUGAGGAGAGACCCCUACUCGAGGAGUUACAGCGGCUGGGACUCGAGAUAGUACCCCCUGGGUUUACGGCGAGGCUGACGUCUCUAGUAUUACAGCCCACUCUGUUGGAUAGAAUCCGAGAGAAACAAAGUGGAGAUCCGUACUUGUUGAGGAUUAGAGAGCAGUUAGACAGGGGGCAGGCUGAGGGAUUUGCUUUGGACAGUUCGGGAGUACUACGGUACAGGGACCGACUGUGUGUGCCUGUGGAUCCGGAGAUUCGAGCGGAUAUUCUGAGAGAGGCUCAUUGUUCCCCUUAUACGGUUCACCCUGGGGGAACCAAGAUGUAUAAGGAUCUUAAGGCACAGUUUUGGUGGCCUGGAAUGAAGAGGGACAUUGGCAGAUUUGUGGCUCAGUGUUUGACUUGCCAACAGGUGAAGGCCGAGCAUCGGGUGCCUGCUGGCAAGCUUCAGAGUCUGCCAGUUCCCGAGUGGAACUGGGAGCACACCACGAUGGACUUCGUCGUUGGAUUGCCUAGAGCGCAGGGUGGCUACGACGCGAUUUGGGUGAUAGUGGACAGACUGACCAAGUCUGCUCACUUCCUACCGGUUCAGACUACCUGGUCCAGGGAGAGACUCGCGCAGCUAUACUUGGAUGAGAUCGUUAGGCUGCACGGCGUGCCAGUGUCGAUUGUAUCAGAUAGAGACCCGAGGUUCGUAUCCCAGUUUUGGAGGAGCCUUCAGACAGCCUUGGGUACACAGCUACAUUUCAGCACAGCGUUCCACCCACAGACAGAUGGUCAGUCAGAGCGGACCAUUCAGACUCUAGAGGACAUGCUGAGGGCAUGUGUUCUGGACUUUGGAGGAGGGUGGUAUCGACAUUUGAGACUGGUUGAGUUUGCGUACAACAACAGCUAUCAAGCGAGCAUUCAGAUGGCUCCGUUUGAGGCGUUGUAUGGACGCAAAUGUCGAUCCCCCCUAUUUUGGAGUGAUGUGGGUGAGCGGAGGACACUUGGACCAGAGAUUCUACUUGAGGCUGAAGAAAAGGUGAGAGUCGUUCGACGACACCUUUUGACAGCACAGAGCCGACAGAGGAGCUACGCCGAUACCAGGAGACGAGACUUGGAGUUUCAGGUUGGAGAUCAUGUUUUUCUCAAAGUCUCGCCGUCUAGAGGGAUACGCCGUUUUGGAGUACGUGGAAAGCUUAGUCCACGGUUUGUUGGCCCUUUCGAGGUAUUGGAGCGUAUCGGACCGGUGGCUUACAGGAUAGCUCUACCCCCGCGACUUGCUGGCAUCCACGAUGUUUUCCACGUCUCAGCAUUGAAGAGAUAUGUUUUCGAUCCCUCUCAUGUGAUUGACUUCACUCCACUAGAGAUUGGCGAGGAUCUGAGAUACGAGGAGCGACCAUUGCGGAUUCUUGCUCAGGAGACGAAAGAAUUGCGCAAUCGGGCCAUCCCGUAUGUGAAAGUGCAGUGGAGCAAUCACGAGGAGCGGGAGGCGACUUGGGAGCCUGAGACAGUGAUGAGGGAGUCCUACCCCGACUUGUUCGUUGCCCCGUCUUAAGGUAUGUUUUAAGUUUCGAGGACGAAACUUUUUAUAGUGGGGGAGGAUGUAGUAUCCUUAUUUCUUUAUCUUUUCUUUUCCUUUUUCUUUUUAUUUCUUUUGAGUUGGUAAGCAUGCUGGGGAUAAGGAUGCCACGUGCACCUUACCCCCAAGCAUGCUUAUCACCUUAAUACUUGUGCAUAGUUUAUAUAUAAUUCUUGAGCCUCUACGCAUAUAGUUCUUGAGCCGUACGUAGAGGAGGAGCUCAGGUGGUGUGGAGUUUCGUCGACGUCGCGCAGCGGUGCCGUUCGAGCGUGUGUUCGUCGUCGUAGCAUCGCGAGGGGGGCCGGGCGAGGGUCCGAUUCUGCCGUUUUUGUUGUCGCGCCGGAUUGUGAUUAGCGUUUGAGGUGGGUUACAUCGGCUUUACUCCUAAGUUCUUAUUGGUCGACAUGUAUAGAUCUUGAUUUCGGUCAUUAAUUUAGCUCAAAUUCAUGGACUAUAUGUAGAUUGUGAAAUCUGAAUUUUGGAGCAUAUUUUAUAAAUUAAGUAGAUCAUACAUGUUGGACUUGGAAAUUGAAUUAGGAGAAAACCUACGAUUUGGACCUGUCACCAGUUUUAACUACCUGAUUUAGCUCUAGGAGCCGUUAGAAAAUUGUACUGUCGCAGUUCUUCGAGACGAGUACUCCAGGUAGUUUAGAAUGUAUUUACACUCGUGCUCGUUCGCCGAGUGGAUUUUUACAGGGUCGUUCAGGUUGUUUCGGACUGUUGGGUGCCGUCAGAGUUGACGGUGGACCCGUAUCGCCUUUUUGGGCGUCAGAUUGUGCCGAGGGCACGUUACCUAUUGGUUGUUAGACCAGUUUGAGUCGAUUACUUGACUUUGGCUAGUUGGAGCCUGUUUGAGCUCGACAGAGAUACGCUGCAUACUCGGUUGGGUAGCGCCCACGAGUGCCACUCCGGAGUCAGGCUUGUGCUUUCGCGUUGGUGUCGCUCAUGCCAGUUGGACUUGCUCUCCACGGACCAGUUGGUGUGGAGGUAGCUGGAUAGUCGCAACGGGGCAGGGACGGGUGUGUUCACACUCCCAGGGACGGGUAUGCUUAUAGUCCCGAUUGGAUUGGGUCAGAUUGACAUUUCCUACAGUUGGUUAGUGUAGAGCAUGAUAGUGUAGUAAUUGAUAGCGGUAGAGCGUACUUCCUGCUUUUCCUACUAUUCUUGCUCCCUUCUGUAGACUUAGUGGGUGACCGAUGUUGUUUUGGGCGGUACCCACUGAGGACUACUUGUUUUUACAGUAGUUCUCACGCCCAGUUGUUACUCUUGUUUUGCAGAGCCAUAGGUUUCGGCUGCUGCGCCUUCCGCGGAUCAGGAUCGAGGCAAGGGCGUCGCGAGUUAGAGCCCUACCUGACGAGCAGAGUUAGAGGCACCCCUACUGCAGGUAGAUGUUUUGUUUCGAGUUUAUGUACAUAGUUUACCUAACUCGCCAGUGCGAGUAACUCUGUAUUUUGGAUUUGAGCUAUGUAUAUGAAACUCAAUUUGUUUAGCUUUUGUUUUCUCUAGCAGCUCUAUACUACUGUUUGUAGUAUUGUAUGUUUACAGGUACAGCUGUCGCUUCGUAUACAGGGAAAAUUCCUUUGUAUACGGCGGAUUUGUCGGCGUGCCCGGGGAACGUGUAAUCCGGGGCGUGACAGAUUAAGUUGGUAUCAGAGCUUUGCUAUAGGUCAUUGGGACCUAGGAAACCUAAGUUGGCAAACCUUAGGAAGCAAGACGCGAGAGGCGUGAUUUAAUUGCGGAAGUCGAUGAUUAUUUGUUCUAACUCCUCCUAAAGCGGAGUGAGUGACUGAAGGAGUUCCUGUUUUGGCCUGAGAAAUUAUGUUGGCUGCAGACGACAUAAUUUUGGAGGAAAACAGGGACCGCCUUCCAGACUUUCGUUGAUUGGGUCGAGAGUGUUGUAUUGUAUCUGACCCCGACUUGUUCUUUGCAGCUAUGUAUCGUCGCCGAGGUCGACCUUCGUUACGGGAGCGCGCCGAGUUGGCGCGAGAUCGUGCUGGACCUUCUGAGAGACCCGAGCAGAUGGAGCAGAGUGCUCGGCAGGAGCAGAGUGACAGACCGGAGGCGAGUGCACCCCCUGUUGUAGGGCCGAGUGCGCAACCUGAGGCUGGCGCACCCCCUGACCUAAGUGCACAGUUGGUUGCCCUGACUGAGGUGACGAGGCAGCAGGGGGAGUUGUUGCAGAGGUUGUGUGAGAGAAUAGCUCAGUCACCGAGUUCAGCACCGAGUAUACCAGAGCAUACUGUUCCCCCACCGACUACUCCAGUGUCAGCUCCAGCCGCAGCUAUGCCCCCACCAGUGGAGCUUCCUACAGCGCCAGUUGCGCCUGCUAGGGGACCCGUACAGUUGACAGAGGCCGAGCAGGAGCGAUGGACGGAGAGGUUGGCUCGUUUCCGCUGAUUUGAUCCACCUACUUUCGAUGGCAGCGGCACUGAGGCCUGGGUUGUUGAGGGAUGGGUCAGUGCUAUGGAGAGGUUAUUCGAGGAUCUGUACGUUCCAGAGGGGGAGCAGGUACCUUUGGGAGUACAUUGUUUGUCAGGUGAUGCACGUGAUUGGUGGCGGAGAGCGAGGCGAGACCAGGGACUAGUGGCGGCACAGCUGAGGUCGGAUGAGUUCUGUGGAAUGCUGUAUGGGAUGUAUUUUCCCAACAGCAUGAAACAGAAGAUUGAGGAGGAUUUAAAGAGGAUCCAGCAGGGCGAGCGGACAGUUCAGGAGUAUGUUCGGGAGUUUACUAGACUCUUGAACUGUGUUCCGUUCGUGGCCAGAGACGAGGCACAUAGGGUCUACUUGUUUGAGCAGGGUUUGACACCCGACCUAUUCAGGUUUGUUAGGGCGCAGAGGUCGAGGACUUUGGACGCGUCCAUUGAGCAGGCACUAUGGGAGGAGAGAGGAGAGGUGUCACUGCGAGAGAGGGCUCAGGGGCCGGGACAGAGUCAGGACAGGAAGCGCCCAGCUCCAAACGACGGAGGACAGUCGAGUAGCAGGCGUCCGCCGAGACCUCCACGAUCGCGUUCUCAGGGUCGUGGGUUCUCGGGACGUCAGCGAUCCAGAGACUUCCGUCAGCGAGGACAGCCAGAGAGGACGCCGCAGUGUGUGAUCUGCGGAGGACCACACUGGCCCAGACAGUGUGAGCAGAGGGAGGGCCGGUGCUACGGAUGUGGUCAGCCGGGACACAUGAGGGCAGCUUGUCCCAGAGCAGCAUCUCCAGCACCAUCAUCUGCUUCAGCUCCACCAGCACCUCAGCAGACUUAUAGAGCAGCACCGAGUUACCGCCAGGAUGAUAGAUCGUCCAUGCCGCGACAGAGUGAGCGUCGACAGCAGGCUCCGAGUGGUAGAGUCUAUGCAGCUCAGGUGGAGGACUCUACAGCAGCCGACCGAGUGGUGGCAGGUAUCACUUUGAUUUCUGGCAUUAGAGUUCACACUCUUUUUGAUACUGGUGCAACGCAUUCCUUUGUUAGCCGAGCAUUUGCAUUGUUGCAUGGUCUAGAGUUAGGGGCAUUGUCACAGGCACGAGAGGUGCAGAUCCCGGACCAUGUUUUACAGGUUGCGGAGUGUUGUUGGUCGUGUCCGGUGCAGUUGGACUCGUGGGUCAUGCCCGCAGACCUGUUGGUGUUAGGGCAGCUGCAGGACUUCGACGUCGUGCUCGGUAUGGAUUGGCUUGCGCGGUACUAUGCUACGAUCGACUGUGGAGCGAGGACGGUGACGUUCCGCGAGCCAGGUCAGGAAGAGUUCACAUUCAGAGGCUGCAGGAGUACGCUAUUUGCCACCUGGAUAUCUUCGGCGAGGGCUCGACAGAUGCUGAGUAGCGGGUGUAUCGCUUUCCUAGCGACUGUUGUGGAGGUACCUACGGCGGCGCCGGGACUUGAGGACAUCCCAGUAGUCCGCGAGUUUCCGGAUGUAUUUCCCCCUGAGUUGACGACGUUGCCGCCGGAGAGGGAGAUUGAGUUUGUGAUUGAUGUGGUUCCUGGAACUGCACCAAUCUCAAAGGUACCUUAUCGGAUGGCGCCGGCAGAGCUGAGAGAGCUAAAGGCACAGCUUCAGGAUUUGAUGGAUAAAGGGUUUGUGAGACCCAGUGUGUCGCCUUGGGGAGCGCCAGUGCUAUUUGUAAAGAAGAAGGAUGGUUCACUCAGGUUAUGUGUGGAUUACCGGGAGCUGAAUAAAGUGACCAUCAAGAAUAAGUAUCCACUGCCGCGCAUUGAUGAUUUAUUUGAUCAGUUGCAGGGAUCCUUCGUCUUCUCGAAGAUUGAUCUCUAGUCAGGUUACCACCAGCUGAGGGUGAGGGCCGAGGAUGUUCCCAAGACGGCUUUUCGGACUUGGUACGGGCAUUAUGAGUUUACAGUAAUGCCUUUUGGAUUGACAAAUACCCCUGCCGCAUUCAUGGAUUUGAGGAACAGAGUGUUCAAGCCGUUCUUGGAUAGAUUUGUGGUAGUCUUCAUCGACGACAUCCUGAUAUACUCCCGGAGUGAUGCUGAGCAUGAGGAGCACUUGAGGAUUGUGCUACAGCUUCUGCGAAAGAAGAAGCUGUAUGCCAAGUUGAAGAAGUGCGAGUUCUGGCUUCGGGAGGUUGCUUUCUUGGGCCACGUGAUUUCAGCCGAGGGCGUAGCAGUGGACCCGAAGAAGAUUGAGGCGAUUCGAGAUUGGCCUAGACCGACGACGGUGACUGAGGUACGGAGCUUCCUGGGACUGGCAGGAUAUUACCGUCGGUUUGUGGAAGGCUUUGCGAAACUUUCCACACCCCUCACACGCUUGACGCGAAAGGGGAUUCGUUUUGUUUGGAGCGAUGACUGUCAGAGGAGCUUUGACGAGUUGAGACUGAGGUUGACAUCAGCUCCUAUCCUUGCCCUUCCGGUGAUGGGGGAUGGAUUUGUGAUCUACAGUGAUGCAUCGCACAGUGGACUUGGUUGCGUGCUGAUGCAGCAUGGUAGGGUGAUUGUUUAUGCUUCACGGCAAUUAAAGGAUUUUGAGAAGAAUUACCCUACGCAUGACUUGGAGCUUGCCGCGGUGGUUUUUGCUUUGAAGCUCUGGCGGCAUUACCUGUACGGCGAGCACUGCGAGGUUUUCACCGAUCAUCAAAGUCUCAAGUAUCUGUUCACACAGAAGGAGCUGAAUCUGAGGCAGCGCCGGUGGUUGGAGUUACUGAAGGACUAUGACAUUAGUAUUCAGUAUCAUCCCGGCAGGGCGAAUGUGGUGGCAGAUGCGUUGAGCAGGAAGUCAGUGCAGAGCCUGAGUUUGAGGAUUACUGAGGAGAGACCCCUACUCGAGGAGUUACAGCGGCUGGGACUCGAGAUAGUACCCCCUGGGUUUACGGCGAGGCUGACGUCUCUAGUAUUACAGCCCACUCUGUUGGAUAGAAUCCGAGAGAAACAAAGUGGAGAUCCGUACUUGUUGAGGAUUAGAGAGCAGUUAGACAGGGGGCAGGCUGAGGGAUUUGCUUUGGACAGUUCGGGAGUACUACGGUACAGGGACCGACUGUGUGUGCCUGUGGAUCCGGAGAUUCGAGCGGAUAUUCUGAGAGAGGCUCAUUGUUCCCCUUAUACGGUUCACCCUGGGGGAACCAAGAUGUAUAAGGAUCUUAAGGCACAGUUUUGGUGGCCUGGAAUGAAGAGGGACAUUGGCAGAUUUGUGGCUCAGUGUUUGACUUGCCAACAGGUGAAGGCCGAGCAUCAGGUGCCUGCUGGCAAGCUUCAGAGUCUGCCAGUUCCCGAGUGGAAGUGGGAGCACACCACGAUGGACUUCGUCGUUGGAUUGCCUAGAGCGCAGGGUGGCUACGACGCGAUUUGGGUGAUAGUGGACAGACUGACCAAGUCUGCUCACUUCCUACCGGUUCAGACUACCUGGUCCAGGGAGAGACUCGCGCAGCUAUACUUGGAUGAGAUCGUUAGGCUGCACGGCGUGCUAGUGUCGAUUGUAUCAGAUAGAGACCCGAGGUUCGUAUCCCAGUUUUGGAGGAGCCUUCAGACAGCCUUGGGUACACAGCUACAUUUCAGCACAACAUUCCACCCACAGACAGAUGGUCAGUCAGAGCGGACCAUUCAGACUCUAGAGGACAUGCUGAGGGCAUGUGUCCUGGACUUUGGAGGAGGGUGGUAUCGACAUUUGAGACUUGUUGAGUUUGCGUACAACAACAGCUAUCAAGCGAGCAUUCAAAUGGCUCCGUUUGAGGCGUUGUAUGGACGCAAAUGUCGAUCCCCCCUAUUUUGGAGUGAUGUGGGUGAGCGGAGGACAUUUGGACCAGAGAUUCUACUUGAGGCUGAAGAAAAGGUGAGAGUCGUUCGACGACACCUUUUGACAGCACAGAGCCGACAGAGGAGCUACGCCGAUACCAGGAGACGAGACUUGGAGUUUCAGGUUGGAGAUCAUAUUUUUCUCAAAGUCUCGCCGUCUAGAGGGAUACGUCAUUUUGGAGUACGUGGAAAGCUUAGUCCACGGUUUGUUGGCCCUUUCGAGGUAUUGGAGAAUAUCGGACCGGUGGCUUACAGGAUAGCUCUAUCCCCGCGACUAGCUGGCAUUCAUGAUGUAUUCCACGUCUCGGCGCUAAGAAAGUAUGUUUUCGAUCCGUCUCAUGUGAUUGACUUCACCCCACUAGAGAUUGGUGAGGACUUGAGGUACGAGGAGCGACCGGUGCGAAUUCUUGCUCGUGAGACGAAAGAAUUGCACAACCGGAUCAUUCCGUACGUGAAAGUGCAGUGGAGCAAUCACGAGGAGCGGGAGGCGACUUGGGAGCCUGAGAAGGUGAUGAGGGAGUCUUACCGCGACCUGUUCGUUGCCCCGUGUUGAGGUAUGUGUUAAGUUUCGAGGACGAAACUUUUUUGUAGUAGGGGAGGAUGUAGUAUCCUUAAUUUUGUUUUUAUUUGAGUUGGUAGACUAGUAGUGGAUAAGGAUGCCACGUGUAACUCUAACCUCAUGCAUCCUUAUCAAUUGAGUUUUAACUGAGGUGUAUAGUUUUUUUAUUUUCAUUUUUACUUCUUCUCUCUUUCUCCAUUCGGCCGAAGUAAGGAGGAGUUCGGGUUGUGCCGCGGAGCUCGAUUUCGACGCCGACGAUGCGCCGCGAAGCCGUUCGAAGGUACGGUUGGGCUCGUAGUGUUGUGAGGAGGCUUGGCAAGGGUCUAUUUCCGCCAUUCUCGACGUCGCGCCGGAUUGGAUUUAGCUUUCGAGGUGGGUUACAUCGGCUUUACUCCUAAGUUAUUAUUGGUCGACAUGUAUAGAUCUUGAUUUCGGUCAUUAAUUUAGCUCAAAUUCAUGGACUAUAUGUAGAUUGUGAAAUCUGAAUUUUGGAGCAUAUUUUAUAAAUUAAGUAGAUCAUACAUAUUGGACUUGGAAAUUGAAUUAGGAGAAAACCUACGAUUUGGACCUGUCACCAGUUUUAACUACCUGAUUUAGCUCUAGGAGCCGUUAGAAAAUUGUACUGUCGCAGUUAUUCGAGACGAGUACUCCAGGUAGUUUAGAAUGUAUUUACACUCGUGCUCGUUCGCCGAGUGGAUUUUUACAGGGUCGUUCAGGUUGUUUCGGACUGUUGGGUGCCGUCAGAGUUGACGGUGGACCCGUAUCGCCUUUUUGGGCGUCAGAUUGUGCCGAGGGCACUUACCUGUUGGUUGUUAGACCAUUUUGAGUCGAUUACUUGACUUUGGCUAGUUGGAGCCUGUUUGAGCUCGACAGAGAUACGCUGCAUACUCGGUUGGGUAGCGCCCACGAGUGCCACUCCGGAGUCAGGCUUGUGCUUUCGCGUUGGUGUCGCUCAUGCCAGUUGGACUUGCUCUCCACGGACCAGUUGGUGUGGAGGUAGCUGGAUAGUCGCAACGGGGCAGGGACGGGUGUGUUCACAGUCCCAGGGACGGGUAUGUUUAUAGUCCCGAUUGGAUUGGGUCAGAUUGACAUUUUCUACAGUUGGUUAGUGUAGAGCAUGAUAGUGUAGUGAUUGAUAGCGGUAGAGCGUACUUCCUGCUUUUCCUACUAUUCUUGCUCCCUUCUGUAGACUUAGUGGGUGACCGAUGUUGUUUUGGGCGGUACCCACUGAGGACUACUUGUUUUUACAGUAGUUCUCACGCCCAGUUGUUACUCUUGUUUUGCAGAGCCACAGGUUUCGGCUGCUGCGCCUUCUGCGGAUCAGGAUCGAGGCAAGAGCGUCGCGAGUUAGAGCCCUACCUGACGAGCAGAGUUAGAGGCACCCCUACUGCAGGUAGAUGUUUUGUUUCGAGUUUAUGUAUAUAGUUUACCUAACUCGCCAGUGCGAGUAACUCUGUAUUUUGGAUUUGAGCUAUAUAUAUGAAACUCAAUUUGUUUAGCUUUUGUUUUCUCUAGCAGCUCUAUACUACUGUUUGUAGUAUUGUAUGUUUUACAGGUACAGCUGUCGCUUCGUAUACAGGGAAAAUUCCUUUGUAUACGGCGGAUUUGUCGGCGUGCCCGGGGAACGUGUAAUCCGGGGCGUGACAUCGUAAGUUUCUUCUCCUCCGCUUAUUGAUAUGCUUAAACUCAGCGGGUGGCCCCGCCUGACCUGGGGUCGCGGUCCGAUGCGGCCCGCCCUUUUCUUUUACAUCGUAAAGGGGGAGGCGCGCGCUCGGGGUGGGGGUCCUCUCGGGGGCCGUUCGCCGCUGGGGCCGGAGGCACGGCGCUCGGCUCGCGGUCGCNCUCCCUUCUGUAGACUUAGUGGGUGACCGAUGUUGUUUUGGGCGGUACCCACUGAGGACUACUUGUUUUUACAGUAGUUCUCACGCUCAGUUGUUACCUAUGUUUUUGCAGAGCCACAGGUGCCGGCUGCUGCACCGUCUGCGGACCUGGAUCGAGGCAAGGGCGUCGCGAGUUAGAGCCCCUACCCGACGUGCUGAGCUAGAGGUGCCCUACUGCAGGUAGAUGUUUUGUUUAGAGUUUAUGUACAUAGUUGACUUAACUCGCCAGUGCGAGUAGCUCUGUAUUUUGGAUCUGAACUAUGUAUAUAAAACUCUGUUUUAUUUAGCUUCAGUUUUCUCUAGCAGCUCUCUACUACUGUUCGUAGUAGUGUUUGAUUUACAG
rnacentral:lncRNA from 1 species